GCUCCAGUGGUCUAGUGUUUAGAACAUCCGCCUCGGAUGCGGGAGGUCGUGGGUUCGGUCUCCAACGGAGAUGUACA